CUUACCGACUGAACCCCCAAGAGUAUCUUACCUCUACCGCCUGCCGCCGAAACCUAGCGGGUGAUGUCUGUGCCAUCAUGAGGGUCCAUGCCUUCCUAGAACAGUGGGGUCUUAUUAACUACCAGGUGGAUGCUGAGAGUCGACCAACCCCAAUGGGGCCUCCGCCUACCUCUCACUUCCAUGUCUUGGCUGACACACCAUCAGGGCUGGUGCCUCUGCAGCCCAAGACACCUCAGCAGACCUCUGCUUCCCAACAAAUGCUCAACUUUCCUGACAAAGGCAAAGAGAAACCAACAGACAUGCAAAACUUUGGGCUGCGCACAGACAUGUACACAAAAAAGAAUGUUCCCUCCAAGAGCAAAGCUGCAGCCAGUGCCACUCGUGAGUGGACAGAACAGGAAACCCUGCUUCUCCUGGAGGUAAUUGGGGCAAAGAAAAGAGAGUUUUUCUCUGAAAACAGAAGUGGGCUCCGUGUAGAGGCUCACGCCUGUAAUCCCAGCACUUUGGGAGGCCAAGGCAGGAGGAUCACUUGAGUCCAGGAGUUCGAGAUGAGCCUGGACAACAUAGUGAGACUCCGUCUCUACGAAAAAUUUUAAAAAUUAGCCAGG
rnacentral:sRNA from 1 species